rnacentral:rRNA from 1 species
AGUGAACGCUGGCGGUAGGCCUAACACAUGCAAGUCGAACGGCAGCACAGUAAGAGCUUGCUCUUACGGGUGGCGAGUGGCGGACGGGUGAGGAAUACAUCGGAAUCUACUUUUUCGUGGGGGAUAACGUAGGGAAACUUACGCUAAUACCGCAUACGACCUACGGGGGAAAGCAGGGGAUCUUCGGACCUUGCGCGAUUGAAUGCGCCGAUGUCGGAUUAGCUAGUUGGCGGGGUAAAUGCCCACCAAGGCGGCGAUCCGUAGCUGGUCUGAGAGGAUGAUCAGCCACACUGGAACUGAGACACGGUCCAGACUCCUACGGGAGGCAGCAGUGGGGAAUAUUGGACAAUGGGCGCAAGCCUGAUCCAGCCAUACCGCGUGGGUGAAGAAGGCCUUCGGGUUGUAAAGCCCUUUUGUUGGGAAAGAAAAGCAGCAGGUUAAUACCCCGCUGUUCUGACGGUACCCAAAGAAUAAGCACCGGCUAACUUCGUG